GAUGAACGCUGGCGGCGUGCCUAAUACAUGCAAGUCGAGCGAACGGACGAGAAGCUUGCUUUUCUGAUGUUAGCGGCGGACGGGUGAGUAACACGUGGAUAACCUACCUAUAAGACUGGGAUAACUUCGGGGAACCGGAGCUAAUACCGGAUAAUAUUUUGAACCGCAUGGUUCAAAAGUGAAAGACGGUCUUGCUGUCACUUAUAGAUGGAUCCGCGCUGCAUUAGCUAGUUGGUAAGGUAACGGCUUACCAAGGCAACGAUGCAUAGCCGACCUGAGAGGGUGAUCGGCCACACUGGAACUGAGACACGGUCCAGACUCCUACGGGAGGCAGCAGUAGGGAAUCUUCCGCAAUGGGCGAAAGCCUGACGGAGCAACGCCGCGUGAGUGAUGAAGGUCUUCGGAUCGUAAAACUCUGUUAUUAGGGAAGAACAUAUGUGUAAGUAACUGUGCACAUCUUGACGGUACCUAAUCAGAAAGCCACGGCUAACUACGUGCCAGCAGCCGCGGUAAUACGUAGGUGGCAAGCGUUAUCCGGAAUUAUUGGGCGUAAAGCGCGCGUAGGCGGUUUUUUAAGUCUGAUGUGAAAGCCCACGGCUCAACCGUGGAGGGUCAUUGGAAACUGGAAAACUUGAGUGCAGAAGAGGAAAGUGGAAUUCCAUGUGUAGCGGUGAAAUGCGCAGAGAUGUGGAGGAACACCAGUGGCGAAGGCGACUUUCUGGUCUGUAACUGACGCUGAUGUGCGAAAGCGUGGGGAUCAAACAGGAUUAGAUACCCUGGUAGUCCACGCCGUAAACGAUGAGUGCUAAGUGUUAGGGGGUUUCCGCCCCUUAGUGCUGCAGCUAACGCAUUAAGCACUCCGCCUGGGGAGUACGACCGCAAGGUUGAAACUCAAAGGAAUUGACGGGGGCCCGCACAAGCGGUGGAGCAUGUGGUUUAAUUCGAAGCAACGCGAAGAACCUUACCAAAUCUUGACAUCCUUUGACAACUCUAGAGAUAGAGCCUUCCCCUUCGGGGGACAAAGUGACAGGUGGUGCAUGGUUGUCGUCAGCUCGUGUCGUGAGAUGUUGGGUUAAGUCCCGCAACGAGCGCAACCCUUAAGCUUAGUUGCCAUCAUUAAGUUGGGCACUCUAAGUUGACUGCCGGUGACAAACCGGAGGAAGGUGGGGAUGACGUCAAAUCAUCAUGCCCCUUAUGAUUUGGGCUACACACGUGCUACAAUGGACAAUACAAAGGGCAGCGAAACCGCGAGGUCAAGCAAAUCCCAUAAAGUUGUUCUCAGUUCGGAUUGUAGUCUGCAACUCGACUACAUGAAGCUGGAAUCGCUAGUAAUCGUAGAUCAGCAUGCUACGGUGAAUACGUUCCCGGGUCU
rnacentral:rRNA from 1 species